rnacentral:ncRNA from 1 species
GUUGUUGCCACAGUAAUCCUGCUCAGUACGAGAGGAACCGCAGAUUCAGACAUUUGGUUCAUGUGCUUGGCUGAUAAGCCAAUGGUGCGAAGCUACCAGAAUGAGGGAUUAUGACUGACCGCCUCUAAGUCAUAAUCCCGCCUGAAAAGCGACGAU